rnacentral:lncRNA from 1 species
CGUCUACCUGCUAUCGCAACGAGCACGCGCCCGAACGCCGAAGUUCUUCUUCCGCGAGACGAAAAGCUGCGCGGAGGGAAUCGCGGAGGGCCAUCGUCACGCCGUGGACAGCACGGACGAAUGAUGGACUGAAGUUAAUCCCUGGAGCUCCGUCUGCUCAUGACGUCCAGAAGACGACAGGAUAUUUUCUCACAUUUCUAUUUAUAUACAUAUAUACCAACAUGUUCUUCUUCUCAUUUUUAUUUUCGGCCCUACGACAUAACGGUUCUCCAAGAUUUGGGCCGGUACCAUCCCGAGCCUCGUGGGGACAACGAGCACUCCCGUCUAUACCGAUACCUGGUAGACAGACACGAAUUCACGCUGACAGUAGUAUCACGAUUUUCGAUUCCUUAUCAUUAUGCCAUUAGUGUAACGUGGCCAGCAUCGAUACACGUCGUCCCUCCUCGGUUUGGGCAGCGAUUCGUCCUCGAUGAACGAUC